CUUCCUUCCUUUCUUUUUCUUUCUUUCUCUUUCUUUUCUUUCUUCUGCAGCAAUUAGUUACCAACUGUCCUCAGUUUGCCAGAUUCUGUGUCAGAUUCAGAAGUCACACACAGAAAGAAAACCAGGCCCCUGAUCCCGCACCCUGGCAAUCCAGAGAGGGGACCCCCAGGGAAAUAACUGAGGCUUAAACAGGUGCUGUGAAGCACAAAAAAGCGAGACUUUACAGGAACCGGGCAUUGAAGGAGCAACACCAGUUCCCAAGGGGAGAAGGUGGCACAACACUCCAGGGAGAGGGAAGAGCAGGGGCAGAGGACUGACUCUGCAGAGCAGGGAGUCGGCCCUGCAUGGCUGGAAUCCAGCCUCUCUGGGCCACAAGGAUUAACUUCAUCUCAGCAUUUCCUCCAAUGACACACACAAUUAUAGAAAGUGAGGGCUGGAAAGGACCUUAACAUUCAUCCAAUUCCGCCUCACCUCAGAAGGGAGAACUGAGUCCCAGAGAGAUGGAGUGUCCUUGCAAAUCCCACAGAGUCCAGCACUGAACCGUCCCCCUCUCCAGAGGCACAAAACAGCACCUCUCUCAAAUGCAGCCAUCUCUGGAGGCACGGGAGCAGAGGAAGCUGUGGGCUCCCCACCUCACCCCACCAUGACUCUUCCCAGCUCCUGCCCCUGGAUCUUGCUGAUCUGGACUGGCCUCCAUUUGCCUGCAGGCUCUAUAGGGAGAUAUUAC
rnacentral:lncRNA from 10 species